CUUCUGGAAAACGGUAGUGAAGAAAACAAUAAACAAACCUACGGCAGAGCCAGCACGAACAGCAGAGCACAAACUUCCGAAAGGAAGAAGAGAACCACGGUGCCGGUAGGAACGGCAGCGAUUUGGUGACCUGAGAAGAGAACCACCGCACGCUACCACGCCGAUGACCGGACGACAACGACGUCACAAACUGCGGCAACAACGACGGCGUGGAGAACAAAGAGAACGACAGCGCCUCGCGAACAAAGGGUGCCUUCCGUCGGGAUAGGGAAAGAGAGCCCUGAAAGCGUCCUCGAGUAGAGGCGGAUGCGUCGGUCUUCCGCAAGCAGUAGACGACAAGAAGAACGAACCCUACCCCGCGAGCAGUAGAGGACAUGAACGAACCCUAAUCGCGAAAUCUCUUCAGAGGUGUUUGAUUGUGGUGAAGGUUGAGUGAUGCAAUGCGUUGUUUGGCUUCAUUUGAUGAGAGAAAAUUGUACUACUGCUUCUUGGUGCCAUUGACUCUCCCUAUAAUUGUUGUUGCUGUGUACUUUCAUUGGCUCA